rnacentral:lncRNA from 1 species
UUGGCUUGCGGAAUCUUAGCUCCAGGUAUAUAUUGUUCCUUACACUUCUCAAUGCCAUACUAAUGCCAGCUGCUUUGUUUACUUAUUCUGCCAAUUGGUCAUUGUUAUAAGCUUAAAAACUAAACCUGCACUGGAAAUUCAAUAUAUAAAGUACAACACCAUCCUGUCGACAUUUCAUCGAUAAGAUUGUUAGCAUGUAUUUCUUCAGAAUCACUAAAAACUAAAGCGAAUCAGAGCUUAGAUGAAUCCAAUGAUGAAGGAAAUGCAAAAGGGCUUCUAUUUGAAACACGAAGAUAGUCACAUAACAUAAGUGAAGGAAUGGUGAAGCAACUGAAGAAGGAGAAGGAGAAGAAUAUUUUGAUGCCUCAAAUUUCAAUAAAACCUGAUGGAGGAAAAGGAGUGAGUUGAGUCCCACAUCGAAAGUGGAAGGGUAUGCCAGAACUUGCUGUUACAUAUAAAAUGGCAGCUGUGAAGAGCAGUAAAGUUCACGCAGCCACGCAGUGAGCACAGAGCGAACUAUUCUUUCGCCUUUUACUAAAGAAUACCGUGUGCGCGCUGCAUUUAGUGGCAUACGCCUAUUUUUGGAGGGGUUCUCUUCUUUGAGUUCCCCCUACAAUUCUAGUUUUAACCUUUAGUGAGAUGUUUGAUAGGUGUACUAGUUGAAGAAACAAGUGG